AAAAAAUCAAGGGGUAUGAUCAGUGUCUUGCAUGUAGAGGAUGGGUUCUAGUAGAAACAGAGCCCCUGUCCAAAAACAACCCCUUCCUAUAGGAACUGGUGGAGAUCUGAAGGGGAAGGGUUGUUCCUGGAAAGGAACAGACACAUAUUUCCAUAAUAAUAAUUUAUUAUUCCAACUAGCCACAGACCAACCAACAUCCCAGCCAGCAGAAGGGUUUACUAGUUAGCUACAUACAUGAUUUCAUAAAUAAAUGUUAAAUCAACAAGAUUCUCAGCUUUAAAAAAGAAAGUGCAUUACACUCCCUCGGUUGUUCCAUGGACAUAUGGGUCGGUGUUUGUACCAUUGUCAUUAUGACAUCAUCAAUAUGGGACAGAACAGUGGAAUUAUCUGGAUGGAUACACACAGUUGUCCAGACUCUGUAAAUCAUGCUGUUUAAACAGUGCAGUAACAAAGAGACUCUCUGGCCAGUACAGUUGAGUGUGACUGGCUACGUCCCAAUACACUGGCUUAUGUUUCCUCCUCCUCCUUUCCUACAGAUCACUAGCUAGAUUAAGCGGUUAGAACUCGUUAGAAAUGUUAAUAGCAUAGCCAUAAACCUUUUUCAGUCCCCUCAUAUCAGUUGAUAUGAUAUAUGGCUGGGACUUUUUCCUGACAAAGUGACCCGACUAGGAAAACCUCCAGGUCUAUAACUAAAGCCUGGAGUUUUCCCUGGUCUGGUCUCGUAGAAGGAAAGGGUUAUGACGAAAGGAAGA
rnacentral:lncRNA from 13 species